rnacentral:rRNA from 1 species
UACGGGGGGGGCAAGCGUUGUUCGGAAUUACUGGGCGUAAAGGGCUCGUAGGCGGCCAACUAAGUCAGACGUGAAAUCCCUCGGCUUAACCGGGGAACUGCGUCUGAUACUGGAUGGCUUGAGGUUGGGAGAGGGAUGCGGAAUUCCAGGUGUAGCGGUGAAAUGCGUAGAUAUCAGGAGGAACACCGGUGGCGAAGGCGGCUAUCUGGACAGAAACUGACGCUGAGGCGCGAAAGCUAGGGGAGCAAACAGG